GGCAAAAGCAAAGCUAAUGCUGGGAAGAUGCCUCAAGUUGGACAAGGAAAACCUGAUUUGGGAUCAAGUGAAAGUUUGCGUCCUGCCAAAAAGUUGAAGCGAGGAGACAUAGGGGAGAGUAAGGGAUCACUCAGCAACAACAUAAAGGUUGCCUCUUCUUCUAAACCUGUUGUGGCUGAUGAAAAAGUGGUUAAAAAAUCUGAGUUCAAAAAGUUGACGCCCACUCUUAAAUCAG
rnacentral:misc_RNA from 1 species